rnacentral:lncRNA from 1 species
AAAAAUUGUUGCAGUGUCUAUUUGGGAAAGUAAAAGUGUGAAACUACUACAACUAAUUUUUCAAAAGGACAGAGACUGAUUUUCACCGGCUCCUUUCUAGCAAGCCUGCUUAUCAGCAGGGUCCAGCAGGCAUCAGCAUGUUCACAUUUUGCAAUGCUGUGGCAAAAUAAUCAAAUUAUUUAGAAAAUAACAGCACCAUACUGAAAUAAAAUAAAAAAUAAGAUAUGAAUUAAAUAAUAAAAAAAAAAGAAUAAAAUUUUGCAUUAAAAAAAAAUCAAAGUUGCAAUUUAGUCUGCUAUGAAUUUCUUACAUCAUGAAAUGUGAAAAUGAGAUGUUCUGACUAGCUACCGUUAAAAGAUUCGCUCCUCUAUACAGAAGAUUGAUUUUUAUAGUCGUAACAGAGGAAAAAAGCACAUCCUUUGUAGACUUCCGGAUUCAUCCUGCUCAGCAAAAUGGUAAAUUCGACACAAAACAUUUUAUUCUUCUGUCUCUUACAGUCAUGGCUUCCUUCUUCCCCCGGAGAGCAAUGAGUCUGUUUCCCUUUUUCAAUAACAGCUUUAUUACAACAUGUUAAAGGGAAACAAGAAGAUGAACAGACCAGGCCUGGCUGUGCAGCGAUCAUUCUUCUGAGGAGCCUGUGUGAGGAGAUGCUGGUCUGGGAGUCAAUCUGAGGAAAAGCAGAAGAUAUUUGCUUUAUAUCCGAAGUAUUAUUCAAGGGAGUUCACGCCAGAAGACAAGAGAAAUGUUGGUACAUGAUGAAUAUAAAGCUCUAAGACUUGGUGCUGAAGGAUACUUCUCUCAGAAGUGUGCAUUUAUUGUUUGAUACCUUUGGUGAUACGUGCUGCUUCAUCUACCAUCUCUGCCAUGGGGUCACCCUCAGCCACUGCUGCUGGGGAGCAAGAGCCAGGCCAUGGGAGCUGGGCAAACUGCCAGACAGGAGGAUGGCUGGCGGAGAGGGCGCAGGAGGGGCAUCAGCCAGCCCUGUGUUUCAGGCUGUACCGGAUGGCAGUACUUCUUUGUUUUUGUAAUGUAUGUCUCCUUUACUGAGAAAGAAGAUGGAAGAUUGGCUUUGACAUCGUGUUGCUGCACUGUAAAUUUUACUAUUAGAGUAAAGUGCAAAGGUAUCCUAAAUCCAUGUGAUGGCUCACACCAGACCUCUGUCAGGAGCUCUUUGAUUAGGCAUAAACUGGAAAGAUGGCCAUUAUUUGUAAUCACAGGUUUUUAA